rnacentral:rRNA from 1 species
UUAAGCGACUAAGCGUACACGGUGGAUGCCCUGGCAGUCAGAGGCGAUGAAGGACGUGCUAAUCUGCGAUAAGCGUCGGUAAGGUGAUAUGAACCGUUAUAACCGGCGAUUUCCGAAUGGGGAAACCCAGUGUGAUUCGUCACACUAUCAUUAACUGAAUCCAUAGGUUAAUGAGGCGAACCGGGGGAACUGAAACAUCUAAGUACCCCGAGGAAAAGAAAUCAACCGAGAUUCCCCCAGUAGCGGCGAGCGAACGGGGAGGAGCCCAGAGCCUGAAUCAGUGUGUGUGUUAGUGGAAGCGUCUGGAAAGGCGCGCGAUACAGGGUGACAGCCCCGUACACAAAAAUGCACAUAUUGUGAGCUCGAUGAGUAGGGCGGGACACGUGGUAUCCUGUCUGAAUAUGGGGGGACCAUCCUCCAAGGCUAAAUACUCCUGACUGACCGAUAGUGAACCAGUACCGUGAGGGAAAGGCGAAAAGAACCCCGGCGAGGGGAGUGAAAAAGAACCUGAAACCGUGUACGUACAAGCAGUGGGAGCACGCUUAGGCGUGUGACUGCGUACCUUUUGUAUAAUGGGUCAGCGACUUAUAUUCUGUAGCAAGGUUAACCGAAUAGGGGAGCCGAAGGGAAACCGAGUCUUAACUGGGCGUUAAGUUGCAGGGUAUAGACCCGAAACCCGGUGAUCUAGCCAUGGGCAGGUUGAAGGUUGGGUAACACUAACUGGAGGACCGAACCGACUAAUGUUGAAAAAUUAGCGGAUGACUUGUGGCUGGGGGUGAAAGGCCAAUCAAACCGGGAGAUAGCUGGUUCUCCCCGAAAGCUAUUUAGGUAGCGCCUCGUGAAUUCAUCUCCGGGGGUAGAGCACUGUUUCGGCAAGGGGGUCAUCCCGACUUACCAACCCGAUGCAAACUGCGAAUACCGGAGAAUGUUAUCACGGGAGACACACGGCGGGUGCUAACGUCCGUCGUGAAGAGGGAAACAACCCAGACCGCCAGCUAAGGUCCCAAAGUCAUGGUUAAGUGGGAAACGAUGUGGGAAGGCCCAGACAGCCAGGAUGUUGGCUUAGAAGCAGCCAUCAUUUAAAGAAAGCGUAAUAGCUCACUGGUCGAGUCGGCCUGCGCGGAAGAUGUAACGGGGCUAAACCAUGCACCGAAGCUGCGGCAGCGACGCUUAUGCGUUGUUGGGUAGGGGAGCGUUCUGUAAGCCUGCGAAGGUGUGCUGUGAGGCAUGCUGGAGGUAUCAGAAGUGCGAAUGCUGACAUAAGUAACGAUAAAGCGGGUGAAAAGCCCGCUCGCCGGAAGACCAAGGGUUCCUGUCCAACGUUAAUCGGGGCAGGGUGAGUCGACCCCUAAGGCGAGGCCGAAAGGCGUAGUCGAUGGGAAACAGGUUAAUAUUCCUGUACUUGGUGUUACUGCGAAGGGGGGACGGAGAAGGCUAUGUUGGCCGGGCGACGGUUGUCCCGGUUUAAGCGUGUAGGCUGGUUUUCCAGGCAAAUCCGGAAAAUCAAGGCUGAGGCGUGAUGACGAGGCACUACGGUGCUGAAGCAACAAAUGCCCUGCUUCCAGGAAAAGCCUCUAAGCAUCAGGUAACAUCAAAUCGUACCCCAAACCGACACAGGUGGUCAGGUAGAGAAUACCAAGGCGCUUGAGAGAACUCGGGUGAAGGAACUAGGCAAAAUGGUGCCGUAACUUCGGGAGAAGGCACGCUGAUAUGUAGGUGAAGUCCCUCGCGGAUGGAGCUGAAAUCAGUCGAAGAUACCAGCUGGCUGCAACUGUUUAUUAAAAACACAGCACUGUGCAAACACGAAAGUGGACGUAUACGGUGUGACGCCUGCCCGGUGCCGGAAGGUUAAUUGAUGGGGUUAGCCGCAAGGCGAAGCUCUUGAUCGAAGCCCCGGUAAACGGCGGCCGUAACUAUAACGGUCCUAAGGUAGCGAAAUUCCUUGUCGGGUAAGUUCCGACCUGCACGAAUGGCGUAAUGAUGGCCAGGCUGUCUCCACCCGAGACUCAGUGAAAUUGAACUCGCUGUGAAGAUGCAGUGUACCCGCGGCAAGACGGAAAGACCCCGUGAACCUUUACUAUAGCUUGACACUGAACAUUGAGCCUUGAUGUGUAGGAUAGGUGGGAGGCUUUGAAGUGUGGACGCCAGUCUGCAUGGAGCCGACCUUGAAAUACCACCCUUUAAUGUUUGAUGUUCUAACGUUGACCCGUAAUCCGGGUUGCGGACAGUGUCUGGUGGGUAGUUUGACUGGGGCGGUCUCCUCCUAAAGAGUAACGGAGGAGCACGAAGGUUGGCUAAUCCUGGUCGGACAUCAGGAGGUUAGUGCAAUGGCAUAAGCCAGCUUGACUGCGAGCGUGACGGCGCGAGCAGGUGCGAAAGCAGGUCAUAGUGAUCCGGUGGUUCUGAAUGGAAGGGCCAUCGCUCAACGGAUAAAAGGUACUCCGGGGAUAACAGGCUGAUACCGCCCAAGAGUUCAUAUCGACGGCGGUGUUUGGCACCUCGAUGUCGGCUCAUCACAUCCUGGGGCUGAAGUAGGUCCCAAGGGUAUGGCUGUUCGCCAUUUAAAGUGGUACGCGAGCUGGGUUUAGAACGUCGUGAGACAGUUCGGUCCCUAUCUGCCGUGGGCGCUGGAGAACUGAGGGGGGCUGCUCCUAGUACGAGAGGACCGGAGUGGACGCAUCACUGGUGUUCGGGUUGUCAUGCCAAUGGCACUGCCCGGUAGCUAAAUGCGGAAGAGAUAAGUGCUGAAAGCAUCUAAGCACGAAACUUGCCCCGAGAUGAGUUCUCCCUGACNUG